UACGGGGGGGCAAGCGUUGUUCGGAAUUACUGGGCGUAAAGGGUUCGUAGGUGGCCUGCUAAGUCAAACGUGAAAUCCCUCAGCUUAACUGGGGAACUGCGUCUGAGACUGGUGGGCUUGAGUGCAGGAGAGGAACGCGGAAUUCAGGUGUAGCGGUGAAAUGCGUAGAUAUCAAGCGGAACACCGGUGGCGAAGGCGGCCUCUGGACAGUGACUGACGCUGGAGGAGCGAAAGCGUGGGGAGCGAACAGG
rnacentral:rRNA from 1 species